UGUCUUUUUGAAAAUAAUAUAAAGUCUAAUCUGCCCACUGAUUUAAUAAUUGAAGGGCUGCAGUAUAUUGACUGUACAAAGGUAGCAUAAUCAUUAGUCAUUUAAUUGAUGACUUGUAUGAAGGAUUGGAUGAAAUAUAAACUGUCUCUUGAUUAAAUAUAGAAUUUAAUUUUUUAAUUAAAAAGUUAAAAUAAUUUAAAAAGACGAGAAGACCCUAUAGAGUUUUAUAAAUAAAUUAAUUAAGAUUAUUUAUUAAGUUAAAAUUGAAAUUGGAGUAUUUAUUAUAUUGGGGUGAUAGAAAAAUAUGGUUAACUUUUUUUUAUAGGUAACAUACAUAAGUGGUUAAAUGAUCCAAUAUUAUUGAUUAUAAGAAAAAAUUACCUUAGGGAUAACAGCGUAAUUUUUUUUUUUAGUUCAUAUAAGAAAAAGAGUUUGCGACCUCGAUGUUGGAUUAAGAUAAAAUUUAAAUGCAGAAG
rnacentral:rRNA from 1 species